GGGGGCGUACAUGGUUUCGACGUGUUGUUGAGAGUUAUAGGGGCAUGCCGAGCGUUGACUGAGUGCUCGUUAAAGAAUUGGUUAAAACACUAAAUGCAAACUCUACAAGAGCUGCAAUUUCAAACUUAGUAGCUUCUGGAUUCUCAGCAAACUCAUCUUCAAUGGUGGCUUUCGCUUAAAUCUAGUUAGUUCUAGUUUGAUUGCUUGUUACAACGACGUGCCUAUUAGUUGCUGUAACUCGUAUUACCCAAAUGGGACUGCCACAUAAGGUUUUUUGGUUGUGUAACGUGGUUAGUAUCACAAAACCGAUCUGAUAGCGAUGCGUUGUCUUUGAAGCCGUUAUCAGGAACUAGCAAAGACUGUGCAUGGAGUACCAGUAAUUUGAGAUAAUGCGGACACGGGUUCGAUUCCCGUCGCCUCCACCA
rnacentral:tmRNA from 1 species